GACGAACGCUGGCGGCGUGCUUAACACAUGCAAGUCGAACGGAAAGGCCCUGCUUUUGUGGGGUGCUCGAGUGGCGAACGGGUGAGUAACACGGGAGUAACCUGCCCUUGACUUGGGGAUAACUUCAGGAAACUGGGGCUAAAACCGGAUGGGAGUUCCUGCUGCAUGGUGGAGGUUGGAAAGUUUCGGCGGUUGGGGAUGGACUCGCGGCUUAUCAGCUUGUUGGUGGGGUAGUGGCUUACCAAGGCUUUGACGGGUAGCCGGCCUGAGAGGGUGACCGGCCACAUUGGGACUGAGAUACGGCCCAGACUCCUACGGGAGGCAGCAGUGGGGAAUAUUGCACAAUGGGCGGAAGCCUGAUGCAGCAACGCCGCGUGCGGGAUGACGGCCUUCGGGUUGUAAACCGCUUUCGCCUGUGACGAAGCGUGAGUGACGGUAAUGGGUAAAGAAGCACCGGCUAACUACGUG
rnacentral:rRNA from 1 species